rnacentral:rRNA from 1 species
UACGUAGGGUGCGAGCGUUAAUCGGAAUUACUGGGCGUAAAGCGUGCGCAGGCGGUUGCUGAAGUCCGUUGUGAAAGCCCCGGGCUUAACCUGGGAAUGGCAGUGGAAACUAGGCGACUUGAAUCUGGCAGAGGGGGGUGGAAUGCCACGUGUAGCAGUGAAAUGCGUAGAGAUGUGGCGGAACACCGAUGGCGAAGGCAGCCCCUGGGUCAAGAUUGACGCUCAGGCACGAAAGCGUGGGGAGCAAACAGG